rnacentral:sRNA from 1 species
UACGCACUACAUGCCCGAGCCAUCCGAGC